CCUACGGGUGGCAGCAGUGGGGAAUAUUGGACAAUGGGGGGAACCCUGAUCCAGCGACGCCGCGUGAGUGAAGAAGUAUUUCGGUAUGUAAAGCUCUAUCAGCAGGGAAGAAAGGAAUGACGGUACCUGACUAAGAAGCCCCGGCUAACUACGUGCCAGCAGCCGCGGUAAUACGUAGGGGGCAAGCGUUAUCCGGAUUUACUUGGUGUAAAGGUAGCGUAGACGGUUACGCAAGUCUGGAGUGAAAGGCGGGGGGCCCACCCCCGGACUGGUUUUGAAACUGUAUAACUGGAGUGGAGGAGAAGUAAGGGGAAUGCCCAGUGGAGCGGUGAAAU
rnacentral:rRNA from 1 species